GACGUAGGGUGCGAGCGUUGUCCGGAUUUAUUGGGCGUAAAGAGCUCGUAGGCGGCUCGUCGCGUCGACCGUGAAAACCCGCGGCUUAACUGCGGGCGUGCGGUUGAUACGGGCGGGCUAGAGUUCGGUAGGGGAGACUGGAAUUCCUGGUGUAGCGGUGAAAUGCGCAGAUAUCAGGAGGAACACCGGUGGCGAAGGCGGGUCUCUGGGCCGAUACUGACGCUGAGGAGCGAAAGCGUGGGGAGCGAACAUG
rnacentral:rRNA from 1 species